rnacentral:rRNA from 1 species
UACGAAGGGUGCAAGCGUUACUCGGAAUUACUGGGCGUAAAGCGUGCGUAGGUGGUUCGUUAAGUCUGAUGUGAAAGCCCUGGGCUCAACCUGGGAAUGGCAUUGGAAACUGGCGACCUAGAGUGCGGUAGAGGGUAGUGGAAUUCCCGGUGUAGCAGUGAAAUGCGUAGAGAUCGGGAGGAACAUCCGUGGCGAAGGCGGUUUUCUAGCUUAUUCCUGACGCUGAAGCGCGAAAGCAAGGGGAUCAAACAGG